rnacentral:antisense_RNA from 1 species
UCCUAUGGGCGGGCCGGACGGGGAGCCGAAAGGCUCGCCGGUGCCUGGUUGCCGGUCUCUCAACCCGUUCGGUUCCGUCCACCCUU